rnacentral:lncRNA from 1 species
UGAGUUCUUUCAUUUCUCCAUUUCUCAACUUAUACACUCAGCUUCCAGUUUUACUGUAGGGUAACUAAUUAAACGGGAAGAAUAGAGGUAUGACUGCGACACGUGGCAGUCAUCCGUCUUACCAAAACAAAACGACACAGUUCUAUUUAAAACACUCAACUCGCGUUACACAUUGAUCACUCAACUUUCAUUCAUUGACAAGUUGGUCACUCAAUUCAUUGUCUUCGUCGUCCGACACUUCAUCACCUUCUUCCUCGAGCUUCAGGCCAUGGUUGGUCUGUUGCUUCUCAUUUGAUA